CAUAGUACCCCAUUCCUUGCUGCAAUGUAAUUACAAGUGUGCUCCUGGUGGUCUUUAACUGAAGGGCACUGACUGGGUACUGGUGAAGUUCCCCGCAGGAACUGAGUCAGACCCCAUCUCAGGGCCCUGCAGAAGAUAGGUGCCUGCUCUAAGGCGUGGACCCUCGCGACAGCCCUGGCCCGUCUUGACGGGCGAGGGUUACUGUACUUGUCCCAAUCGUACAGAUGAGAAAGCUCAGACUCAGGGCCAGCAACCCCGGUCCCAGCGGAGCGCCCGGCACGCGCCGACACUUCAGCACCAGUCGCGGUGGCCACCACUGUGCGCGGAGAUGGCUGCGACGCGUGCGCAGAUCUCGAUCCCAAACUCCCUCCUGCCAGAAUCUGGACCCGAAUCCACCCAUUGCCCAUUUUCCGCUGCCGCUGGAGAGAAUCUCUGAGGUCCCCAGGACAGCCUGCCUGCACGGAAGAGAUGCCUCCUCAGUAUGGCCGCCCCCGGAGAGGAGCGAUUAAGUGCAGACCCCCAUGUUGCUCUUGAGCCUGAGCGGCUUCAGGGAGCCAUGUUUGUUACUGGCGGGCGCCGGCCUCACUGAGCAUGUGCAGCCCUGGCCGGGCGGCCUCAAAGUUCUGACAUCACAGGGCGGUUCCUGAAGUGGACGUAGUUGGAAAUUUGUGCACAGAGAUAACACAGGGGAUAUGCCAUAUGAAGAUGAAGGCAGAAUUCUACAAGCCCAGGAAUGCCAAAGAUUGCCAGCAAACCACCAGAAGCUAGGAGAGAAGUGUGGAUUAGAUUCUUUCUCACAGCCCUCAGAAGGAACCAGCCCUGCCAAGAACUUGAUCUCAGACUUCUAGUCUCCAGAACUGUGAGACAGUGCAUUUUGUUCUGUAAGUCAGCCACAUGGUUUGUGGCACUUUGUUAUGGCAGCCCUAGGAGAUGAAGACAAUAUGCAACAUGGUAUGUCCAUUAUAGGACACUGUGGGCUAUAAAUGUGUUCUUUGGCCUGAAGAAAUAAAACUUGGUGGUCCAAGUUGAUGUCUUAUCAUCUGUUCCAGUUCUUUUAUGGUAUUUUUGGCAUUUGAAUCUAAUGACUAUGCAAAGCCCAGUCCAGAGAAUGUGUCAGGACCCAUUAUAGCCUC
rnacentral:lncRNA from 10 species